rnacentral:snRNA from 1 species
GUCCUCAUUUGGGGAGCGCAUAUACUAAAAAUUGAAAUGAUACAGAGAUUAACAGGGCCCCUGCACAAGGAUGACACUUAAAAAGCAAUAGCUUAGGGGCACCUGG